GGGGGCGAUUUGGGCUCGACCGGGCAGCAUGAGGUCGAGGUGGCGUGUCCAGGUUGUCAGGUGGCCUGGUUAAACUCCUGACGCAAACACAAGUGCCAACGCUAACCCGUUGCGCAUGGCUGCUUAAAUAGCAGCCCGUCCUGGCGGAGAUGUCUGCUAUCCGGCAGGGCGACGACAGCAGGCUCGCUCAUGAGGGUAGGCGCCGUGACACAUGAGUCAGAACACCACGACGCUGGGCUGGCCGGAGCCUGUCGCUGGGCGCCGGGCGGCCGAGAACAAAUCAGACGACUACACACGUAGAAGCCUCUUCUGAAAUGCCACGGGACGCGGGUUCGAUUCCCGCCGCCUCCAAUU
rnacentral:tmRNA from 1 species